rnacentral:rRNA from 1 species
UGUGGCCCCAAGUCAGGCGAGGCCCACCCGCCGAGUUUAAGCAUAUAAAUAAGCGGAGGAGGAGAAACUUACGA